GACGAACGCUGGCGGCAUGCCUAACACAUGCAAGUCUAGGGGUAGCAAUACCACUGGCGCGCGGGUGAGUAACACGUAGGUUAUCUGCCCCCAUCACAGACAUAACCCCGGGAAACCGGGGCUAAUAUCUGAUGAGGUCGCGAGAUCAAAGCUUCGGCGGAUGGGGAUGAGCCUGCGGCUGAUUAGCUAGUUGGUGAGGUAAUGGCUCACCAAGGCGACGAUCAGUAGCUGGUCUGAGAGGACGAACAGCCACACUGGAACUGAGACACGGUCCAGACUCCUACGGGAGGCAGCAGUGAGGAAUAUUGGUCAAUGGGAGCAAUCCUGAACCAGCAAUGCCGCGUGUGGGAUGACAGGGCUUCGCCUUGUAAACCGCUGUCGGAGGGGACGAAUGGUACAUUUGAUGUACUGAGACGGUACCCUCAAAGGAAGGAUCGGCUAACUACGUGCCAGCAGCCGCGGUAAU
rnacentral:rRNA from 1 species